GCUAGUAAUGGCAGGUCAGCAUACUGCCGUGAAUACGUUCCCGGGCCCUUGUACACACCGCCCGUCACACCAUGAGAGUUGGAGAUACCCGAAGCCUAUGAGCUAACUUUUAGAGGCAGUAGUCGAAGGUAGAAUCAAUGAUUGGGGUGAAGUCGUAACAAGGUAUC
rnacentral:rRNA from 1 species